rnacentral:lncRNA from 1 species
GGAUUUGAGUGCAAGUGGGAGAUUGUUGGAAGUAUGCCCACAAAGCCACUCAUUUGAUGUAAUAGCUUUUUGGAAUACUUAAUGUAUUAAACUUUUAUAUGUUUAAUGAAGGGCAAAGCUUAUUGUUAAUCACUAUUUAUUGUAUCUUGUGUUUAAACAAUAAGGGAAUCCUAGGGAUGUAUUUGAUCUAAGAGACAAGUGAUCUAAGUGAGUUAGAUUAUCGAGACCAUUC